AUUGAACGCUGGCGGAAUGCUUUACACAUGCAAGUCGAACGGCAGCACGGGGGCAACCCUGGUGGCGAGUGGCGAACGGGUGAGUAAUACAUCGGAACGUGCCCAGUCGCGGGGGAUAACGUAGCGAAAGUUACGCUAAUACCGCAUACGAUCUACGGAUGAAAGCGGGGGACCGUAAGGCCUCGCGCGAUUGGAGCGGCCGAUGGCAGAUUGGGUAGUUGGUGAGGUAAAGGCUCACCAAGCCGACGAUCUGUAGCUGGUCUGAGAGGACGACCAGCCACACUGGGACUGAGACACGGCCCAGACUCCUACGGGAGGCAGCAGUGGGGAAUUUUGGACAAUGGGCGCAAGCCUGAUCCAGCCAUUCCGCGUGCAGGACGAGGGCCUUCGGGUUGUAAACUGCUUUUGUACGGAACGAAAAGGCUCUGGUUAAUACCUGGGGCUCAUGACGGUACCGUAAGAAUAAGCACCGGCUAACUACGUGCCAGCCGCCGCCGUAA
rnacentral:rRNA from 1 species